UACGUAGGGGGCAAGCGUUGUCCGGAAUUAUUGGGCGUAAAGCGCGCGCAGGCGGUUCUUUAAGUCUGAUGUGAAAGCCCACGGCUCAACCGUGGAGGGUCAUUGGAAACUGGAGGACUUGAGUGCAGGAGAGGGAAGUGGAAUUCCACGUGUAGCGGUGAAAUGCGUAGAGAUGUGGAGGAACACCAGUGGCGAAGGCGACUUUCUGGCCUGUAACUGACGCUGAGGCGCGAAAGCGUGGGGAGCAAACAGG
rnacentral:rRNA from 1 species